rnacentral:rRNA from 1 species
GCAAGAUACCACGGGCGCACGGCGGAUGCCUUGGCACAGGGAGCCGAUGAAGGACGCGGCAAGCUGCGAUAAUCCCCGGCGAGGAGCACACAUCCUUCGACCCGGGGGUCUCCGAAUGGGCGAACCCAUCCACAGCAGUGUGGAUAUCCCCCCGCUGAACACAUAGGCGGGGGGAGGACAACCCGGGGAACUGAAACAUCUAAGUACCCGGAGGAGAGGAAAUCAAUCUCGAGACUCCCCGAGUAGCGGCGAGCGAAAGGGGACCGAUGGCCAAACCGUCGAGCGGGCAUACCCGGCAGGGGUUCCGCCGACGGGGUUGCAGGGCCGCGCAUCCGGGGGCUGCCGCCCCCGGGCGCAGGUCCGGCUGGGGAGCGGAACGGCAUGGGAGGGCCGGCCGCAGCGGGUGACAGCCCCGUACGCGAACCCAGACCGGACGGCGCGACGCGGUCCCUGAGUAGGGCCGGGCACGUGAAACCCGGUCCGAACCUGGGUGGACCACCAUCCAAGCCUGAGUACUACCCUGUGACCGAUAGCGCACCAGUACCGUGAGGGAAAGGUGAAAAGCACCCCGGGAGGGGAGUGAAACAGUACCUGAAACCGUGCGCCCACGAGCAGUCGGAGCACCUAUAUGGUGUGACGGCGUGCCUUUUGUAGAAUGAGCCAGCGAGUCGCUGGCGCGGGGCGAGGUUAACCGAAAGGGAGCCGGAGCGAAAGCGAGCCUUAACAGGGCGACUUGAGUCCCGCGCCGCGGACGCGAAGCCGGGUGAGCUAUCCGUGGGCAGGCUGAAGCGGGGGUAAGACCCCGUGGAGGGCCGAACGCACGUCGGUUGAAAACGGCGGCGAUGACCUGCGGAUAGGGGUGAAAGGCCAAUCAAACCCGGAGAUAUCUCGUUCUCCCCGAAAUAGCUUUAGGGCUAGCGUCGCGCGUUCACCGCCGGAGGUAGAGCACCGGAUGGACGAGGGGGCUUCGCCGCCUACCGAAUCCAACCGAACUCCGAAUGCCGGCGGCCCAGAGCGCGGCAGUCAGAGCAUGUGGGCUAAGCUGUGUGCUCGAGAGGGAAACAGCCCGGACCGCCCGCUAAGGUCCCCAAGUUCCAGCCGAGUGGCAAAGGAUGUGCGUCCGCCCAGACAACCAGGAUGUUGGCUUAGAAGCAGCCAUCCAUUCAAAGAGUGCGUAACAGCUCACUGGUCGAGUGGACAUGCGCCGACAAUACACGGGGCUAAGCUGGACACCGAAGCGGCGGGAUUUUAUCUAUAUAGAAUCGGUAGGGGAGCUUCCCAUGGGCGGUGAAGCCGGAGGGCGACCGACGGUGGAGCGCAUGGGAGUGAGAAUGCUGGCAUGAGUAGCGAGAGACGAGAGAGUAACUCGUCCGCCGUGAACCCGAGGUUUCCUGGGCAAGGCUAAUCCUCCCAGGGUCAGUCGGGGGCUAAGGCGAGGCCGGGAGGCGUAGCCGACGCGCAGCAGGCAGACAUUCCUGCACCGCGCACGCGGCGCUACGACCGACGGGGCGACGGAUGGGGGUGGCUCGGCGGGGUUCUGGACGUCCCCGUGAUGGAGCGCGGCCCGCGGACCAGGGAAAUCCGGUCCGCACGAGGGCGAGGCUCCGGACGAAGCGAUUGAGCGAAGCGAGUGAGCCCGAGGUCCCUAGAAAAACCCCUAGGCAGGCGCGUGCGCGCCCGUACCGCAAACCGACACAGGUGGGUGGGUAGAACAUACCGAGGCGAUCGGGUCAACCAUGGUCAAGGAACUCGGCACAAUGGCCCCGUAACUUCGGGAGAAGGGGUGCCCGCGCGUACGUGAACGGACUUGCUCCGGGAGCGGAGGCGGGCCGCAGUGGAGAGGCCCAAGCGACUGUUUACCAAAAACACAGGACUCUGCAGAAGCCGCAAGGCGACGUAUAGGGUCUGACGCCUGCCCGGUGCCGGAAGGUCACGCGGAGGAGUUAGCCGAUUCGGCGAAGCCCCGAAGCCAAGCCCCGGUAAACGGCGGCCGUAACUAUAACGGUCCUAAGGUAGCGAAAUUCCUUGUCGGGUAAGUUCCGACCUGCACGAAAGGCGCAACGACUUGGGCGCUGUCUCGACCAUGGACCCGGUGAAAUUGCACUGGUCGUGAAGAUGCGACUUACCCGCGGAAGGACGGAAAGACCCCGUGAACCUUCACUGCAGCUUGGCAUUGGCCGCUGGUCCCGCGUGUAGAGGAUAGGCAGGAGGCACAGAUCCGGAGGCGCCAGCCCCCGGGGAGCCGCCCUUGGAAUACUGCCCUCGCGCGACCGGCGUCCUAACCCGAGGCCGUCAACCGGCUCGGGGACCGUGCCAGGCGGGCAGUUUGACUGGGGCGGUCGCCUCCUAAAGGGUAACGGAGGCGCGCGAAGGUCCGCUCGGGACGGUCGGCAACCGUCCUUUUGAAUGCAAGAGUACAAGCGGGCUUGACUGCGAGGCCCACAAGCCGAGCAGGUGCGAAAGCAGGCUCUAGUGAUCCGGCGGCCCCGAGUGGGUGGGCCGUCGCUCAACGGAUAAAAGGUACUCCGGGGAUAACAGGCUGAUCUUGCCCAAGAGUCCACAUCGACGGCAAGGUUUGGCACCUCGAUGUCGGCUCAUCGCAUCCUGGGGCUGGAGCAGGUCCCAAGGGUACGGCUGUUCGCCGUUUAAAGCGGUACGCGAGCUGGGUUCAGAACGUCGUGAGACAGUUCGGUCCCUAUCCUCCGUGGGCGCAGGAGAAUCGAUGGAGGCUGCCCCCAGUACGAGAGGACCGGGGUGGACGCACCUCCGGUGAACCGGUUGUCGACCAACGGCACGGCCGGGUAGCCGCGUGCGGCGCGGAUAACCGCUGAAGGCAUCUAAGCGGGAAGCCGUUCCAGGGAUUAGUUCUCCUUCCGGUAAGGGCCCAGGUAGACUACCUGGUCGAUAGACGGCAGGUGCAAGGACGGCGACGUCCUCAGCCGAGCCGCACUAAUCGCCCGAGCUCUUCCGGAA